rnacentral:lncRNA from 1 species
AUUAGUAUAGAAGCAAAAAACAGGGUGCUUACAGGAUACAGGACUGAGACUGUCCAUGUAUUUUGUCCAAUGAAAGAAGGAAACAAUCAUACAUAAAAACUUGAACAGAAGCAAAUCUCGCCCGACUGAUUUCUUUAUAAGAAUUCGCAAAUGUUUAUUUUUUGUUCAGAAACUAUAAACAAACUGAUAAUGAUUAAGAACAAUUUGCUGUCUCACUGAAAAAAAACAGAAGAUCAUUGGAAGGGAACUUGCUAGCUAGUGUGGUCUAAAGGAGAAGUGGCUUUCAUAUGAGGGGGCGGUCUCAUAUUCAGCCUGCGAGCUGGUGAUGAAUUGCUUCUGAGACACGAGUUGCAUGGAAAUUGGCAAUGAAAGCAGAAGCUUUCUUGUCAAUACCAGGCUCAGCAACCACCCUGAGCGUAUUGUCUUCAUCACUUGGAUACACCUUUCGUGUGCUCCAAACGUCUUCGGCGGCUGAAUAUGAAUGAUCCUCCCUACGAUCCUUCUUAGCUUUGAAGAAACUGAAAAAAGAGAAAGAUUUCUUCUGCUUGUUCCCACCCAUAGCCAUGUAUCUUCUUUUUUGCUCACUCGGAUACACACACUACAAGUUGGGAUGAGUUUUGCACUUGGCACUGCGCUCCUUGAUGUUCAUGCGGAUUCGAGACCCCUUUUAUAAGGGGCUACCCUGUAUUACAAAGGAAUCGAAUAAAAACAAAGACGGGUAUGAUCACGACAAGUGUCCGGCUUUGAUGAAAUGGCUUCCGG